rnacentral:rRNA from 1 species
AAUGAACGCUGGCGGCGUGCCUAACACAUGCAAGUCGAACGGAAGCACGGUAAGCUUUUGCCCUUAAUGGUAGCGGGUGGCGGGCGAGUAACGCGUGCAUAACCUACUUCUUUGUCGGGGAUGACAACGGAAGACCGGAUCUGAUACCGCAUAAUAUGUUGAACCGGAGGGAGCAAAAGAGAAUGAGGGCUUUGGUGUCUGUUAUAGACGGGGUCGGAUUAGCUAGUUGGGGGGGUAAGGGCACACCAAGGCAACGAUGCGUAGCCGAGCUGAGAGGAUGAUCGGCCACACUGGAACUGAGACACGGUCCAGACUCCUACGGGAGGCAGCAGUAGGGAAUAUUGGGCAAUGGGCGAAAGCCUGAUGCAGCCAUGCCGCGUGAGUGAUGAAGGCCUUCGGAUUGUAAAGCUCUGUUGUUGGGAAAGAACAGCAGUGUGAUAAUACGUCGCUAUUCUGACGGUACCUAAUGAAAAAGCACCGGCUAACUACGUG